GCCACCCUAGCUCAGUUGGUAGAGCGACGCAUUUGUAAUGCGUGGGUCGUCGGUUCGAAUCCGACGGGUGGCU
rnacentral:tRNA from 1 species